CCUCCUCAGGUAUCACCUCCUCAGGUAUCACCUCCUCAGGUCACUAUAGCAGGUAUCACCUCCUCAGGUCACUAUAGCAGGUAUCACCUCCUCAGGUAUCACUUCCUCAGGUCACUAUAGCAGGUAUCACCUCCUCAACUCACUAUAGCAGGUAUCACCUCCUCAGGUCACUAUAGCAGGUAUCACCUCCCCUCAAGUCACUAUAGCAGGUAUCACCUCCUCAGGUCACUAUAGCAGGUAUCACCUCCUCAGGUAUCACCUCCUCAGGUAUCACCUCCUCAGGUCACUAUAGCAGGUAUCACCUCCUCAGGUCACUAUAGCAGGUAUCACCUCCUCAGGUCACUAUAGCAGGUAUCACCUCCUCAGGUCACUAUAGCAGGUAUCACCUCCUCAGGUCACUAUAGCAGGCAUCACCUCCUCAAGUCACUAUAGCAGGUAUCACCUCCUCAGGUCACUAUAGCAGGUAUCACCUCCUCAAGUCACUAUAGCAGGUAUCACCUCCCCUCAGGUCACUAUAGCAGGUAUCACCUCCUCAGGUCACUAUAGCAGGUAUCACCUCCUCAGGUAUCACCUCCUCAGGUCACUAUAGCAGGUAUCACCUCCUCAGGUCACUAUAGCAGGUAUCACCUCCUCAGGUAUCACCUCCUCAGGUAUCACCUCCUCAAGUCACUAUAGCAGGUAUCACCUCCUCAGGUCACUAUAGCAGGUAUCACCUCCUCAAGUC